AUGGCGUCCGCCUACGACCGGGAGGACGGCCUCGCGCCGCCGCAGCCGCACGGCGGCGGCCCCGCCGACGCCUACGAUCCCAACUACGUCCCGGACUCGGUGAAGACCUUCGUGGUGCACCUGUACCGCCACAUCCGCGACAAGAACGUCUACGAGAUCCACCAGAUGUACGAGGGCGGCUUCCAGCGCCUCUCCGACCGCCUCUUCCGCGACACGCCCUGGCCGUCGGCCGAGGCCGUGGCGCCCUACUGCGACGGCGACCACGUCUUCCUCCUCCUCUACCGCGAGCUCUGGUACCGCCACGCCUACGCGCGCCUCUCCCCCCUCACCGCCAGCCACCGCUCCGAGUCCUGGAACAACUACUGCGACCUCUUCAGCGUCGUCCUCCACGGCGUCGUCAACAUGCAGCUGCCUAACCAGUGGCUGUGGGACAUGGUGGACGAGUUCGUCUACCAGUUCCAGAGCUUCUGCCAGUACCGCGCCAAGCUCAAGAACAAGACGGAAGACGAGCUCCAGCAGCUAAAGCAGUUUGACAAGGCAUGGAAUGUCUAUGGGGUUCUCAAUUACCUGCAAGCACUCGUUGAGAAGUCCAUGAUCGCACAGAUUCUGGAGAGGGAGAAAGAGGGGCUGGAGUCGUUUACCGCCACCGACGGGUAUGACUACCAGGGUGGGAGCAAUGUGCUCAAGGUCCUGGGUUACUACAGCAUGAUUGGGCUUCUCAGGAUACACUGCCUUCUUGGUGAUUACCACACUGGCCUCAAGUGCUUGGCACCGAUCAACCUUAACCAGCAGGGGGUCUACACCAUUGUGAUUGGGAGUCACAUCUCGACAAUCUAUCAUUAUGGAUUUGCAAACCUUAUGAUGCGCAGGUAUGUCGAUGCUACCAAGGAAUUCAACAAAAUUCUGCUUUACAUUAUAAAGUAUAAGCAGUACCAUCAGAAAUCCCCUCAGUAUGACCAGAUUCUGAAGAAAAAUGAGCAGAUGUAUGCGCUGCUGGCAAUUUGCCUAUCUCUGUGUCCGCAGAACAAACUCAUAGAUGAAAAUGUUAGCGCCCAGCUGAAAGAAAAGUACAAUGACAAAAUGACAAAGAUGCAGAGGUUUGAUGAUGAAGCAUAUGCUGCCUACGAUGAGCUAUUUUCGUAUGCCUGCCCCAAGUUUAUUACGCCAUCACCUCCAGUUCUGGACCAGCCACUUACAAAUUAUAACCAGGACGCCUAUCGGCUUCAAUUGAAGCUGUUCCUGUAUGAAGUGAAGCAGCAACAGCUGCUUUCUGGGAUCCGGAGCUAUCUAAAGUUAUACUCAGCAAUAACUAUCACCAAACUUGCCCAGUAUAUGGAAAUGGAUGAGGCAACACUUAGGUCUAUCCUUAUGACGUACAAGCACAAAAUGCAUGCAGUUGACAGUAAUGGGAAAAUUGUAUCCAGUGCAGACUUUGAUUUCUACAUUAAUGAGGAUGUUAUUCAUGUCGUGGAGUCCAAGUCGACCAAGCGCCAUGGUGACUACUUUUUGAGACAGAUUUUAAAGUUUGAAGAAACCAUUGCUGAAUUGGACAAGGUACAGCUUGACUGA
rnacentral:rRNA from 1 species